CCGAGUUUACAACUCCCAAACCCCUGUGAACAUACCACUUGUUGCCUCGGCGGAUCAGCCCGCUCCCAGUAAAACGGGACGGCCCGCCAGAGGACCCCUAAACUCUGUUUCUAUAUGUAACUUCUGAGUAAAACCAUAAAUAAAUCA
rnacentral:misc_RNA from 1 species